AUGGGGGUUGGGGUGGGGGGGGCAGUGAGAGUCCCAUGGUAUUGGUUUGAGACCGUGUCUCUGUGUCUCUGUGUGUGUCUGUGUGUGUGUUUUGCGAGCUUUCACUGGGCUCUAUUUUCUCUCUCUCUCUCUCUCUCUCUCUCUCUCUCCUCGGCUCGGCGUCGCAGCUCCGGGAGGCGGCGGCUGCCGCGGCGUGGCGCGGCAGGACGGGCGAGCGGGUGAAGUGGAUUAACGCGACUCCUCUGAGAGAGAAAGUGGAGAGGAGGCGAGCCGGGAGAGGUGUGGCGGCGCUGGCGACUGAAAUGGCUGCUUUUGAUCCGCGAGUCCCACCAGAGGCAGCAGUGGGAGAAAACUUCACUUCCCAGGCGGGAGCGGGAGGAACGCCACAGCAACUUGGGAACUGGAGGGUGCGAGCGGAACGUGCCACCUCACCCCUCCGUCCCCGGCGACUCGGAGGCGACGGCUGCUCGCCUGCCGCCACGUCUGGACCGUGGACCAACUUGCCAAGAUAAUCGGCCUACCCCGUCCCUCAAGCCUGACUCCAUUUUGAUCGCAGGUGAGGACCGACCGCCCUGUCGCGGACGCAGCGCCGGUCGCCAGCUUCUGCGAUACUGGCCCGCUGGUAUGUGUCUUUUUCUUGCUCCCUCUCCUCCGACCUCCCCUCUCCAGCACCCGUUUCUGAUUCGGCACACCCCGAAAAGGCGUCUCGCUGGCUGCGCUUCACUUGUACGUUUGGCGGCGCCCGCCCCGACCUCACCCAGAUCGCUGAGACAAACGAACCGCUGGCUGUUCGCCGUGGGUCUGGACUGCCCUCCACUCUCCAGUGUUAAAAUUGAUGGACCCGGACACGUUACCGUUUCUCUGGACGGCCGGCCAGCACGUUGCUAAGUUGCACCAAUUCCAUGAGGGAAGCGGCUAAAGGUAGCGGCUGGCGCAGCGAAGGGGUGCAUUUCUGCGUUUUUAUGCCAUUUUUGCUG
rnacentral:lncRNA from 1 species